rnacentral:rRNA from 1 species
CCUACGGGAGGCAGCAGUGGGGAAUAUUGGGCAAUGGAGGCAACUCUGACCCAGCAACGCAGCGUGAAGGAUGAAGGUCUUCGGAUUGUAAACCUCUGUCAGCAGGGAAGAACGGUCACUGUGCUAAUCAGCAGUGAAUUGACGGUACCUGCAAAGGAAGCACCGGCUAACUCCGUGCCAGCAGCCGCGGUAAUACGGAGGGUGCGAGCGUUAAUCGGAAUUACGGGGCGUAAAGCGCUCGUAGGCGGUAGGUCAAGUCAAGGGUGAAAUCCCCGCGCUCAACGUGGGAACUGCCUUUGAAACUGGCAAACUGGAGUGUUUGAGAGGAUAGUGGAAUUCCAGGUGUAGGGGUGAAAUCCGUAGAUAUCUGGAGGAACAUCAGUGGCGAAGGCGACUAUCUGGCACAUAACUGACGCUGAGGAGCGAAAGCGUGGGUAGCAAACAGGAUUAGAUACCCUGGUAGUC